GGCUAGUCCGGGGCGGCAGGCGGUACUAAGAUCAGUACUCCGCCGCCGGGUAAGUCACUUAGAACCCUCCAAGCCUGUGAACCCUUAGGGGCGGGAUAAUAGAGCCUGCCUUCUAGCGUAUUGUAAGAAUGAGAGCUUUAGAAGGGACAGACGGAUGGGGAAAACGAGGCAAAAAGGGGGAGAAGUAGGGAGACUGACACGCAUGAGAGGGCGCAGUGAGGAGUGAGUCAGAGACCCAGAGAGGGAGACUGGCCCCACGCCAGACACUCUCUCCCACCAGCAAGUGGGUGCCUCCAAGCUGCGGGGAGGAGUCGGUACUGAUGAAGUGACCAGGAGAGAAGCACGAGGAGACGCCCCAGAGAAAGAGCAUGGAAAGGACCAACAAGCUGUUUGGCUUCCCUCCAGUCAGUUGAAAUUGUACCAUGACUCCAGCCUUGAAGAACCGUCAGAAACAAAAGGCAAACAACCGCCAGAAAUCGAAGCGCAAGGCUCGUCGCCUGACUAAUAAAAUUUGUAAUCUUAA